rnacentral:rRNA from 1 species
UACGUAGGGGGCAAGCGUUGUCCGGAUUAUUGGGCGUAAAGCGCUCGCAGGCGGCCUGAUGCGUCGUGCGUGAAAUCCCUCGGCUCAACUGGGGGUGGUCGUGCGAUACGGUCAGGCUUGAGGCCAGUAGGGGGACGCGGAAUUCCGGGUGUAGUGGUGGAAUGCGUAGAGAUCCGGAGGAACACCAGCGGCGAAGGCGGCGUCCUGGACUGGUACUGACGCUCAGGAGCGAAAGCGUGGGGAGCGAUCCGG